AUUGAACGCUGGCGGCAUGCCUUACACAUGCAAGUCGAACGGCAGCGGGCCUUCGGGUGCCGGCGAGUGGCGAACGGGUGAGUAAUGCAUCGGAACGUGCCAUUGAGUGGGGGAUAACGUAGCGAAAGUUACGCUAAUACCGCAUAUUCUGUGAGCAGGAAAGCAGGGGACCGCAAGGCCUUGCGCUCUUUGAGCGGCCGAUGUCAGAUUAGCUAGUUGGUGAGGUAAAGGCUUACCAAGGCGACGAUCUGUAGCGGGUCUGAGAGGAUGAUCCGCCACACUGGAACUGAGACACGGUCCAGACUCCUACGGGAGGCAGCAGUGGGGAAUUUUGGACAAUGGGCGCAAGCCUGAUCCAGCCAUGCCGCGUGAGUGAAGAAGGCCUCGGGUUGGUAAGACUCUUUCGGUCC
rnacentral:rRNA from 1 species